GACGGGGCCGCACAAGCGGUGGAGCAUGUGGUUUAAUUCGAUGAUACGCGAGGAACCUUACCUGGGCUCAAAUGUAUGUUGACGUAUUCUGAAAGGGAUACUUCUUCGGACAAUAUACAAGGUGCUGCAUGGUUGUCGUCAGCUCGUGCCGUGAGGUGUCGGGUUAAGUCCCAUAACGAGCGCAACCCUAUCAUUAGUUGCCAUCAGGUCAAGCUGGGGACUCUAAUGAAACUGCCUACGCAAGUAGUGAGGAAGGUGGGGAUGACGUCAAAUCAGCACGGCCCUUACGUCCAGGGCUACACACGUGCUACAAUGGCCGGUACAAAGGGCAGCUACCUGGUGACAGGAUGCUAAUCUCAAAAGUCGGUCUCAGUUCGGAUCGGAGUCUGCAACCCGACUCCGUGAAGUUGGAUUCGCUAGUAAUCGCGCAUCAGCCAUGGCGCGGUGAAUACGUUCCCGGGCCUU
rnacentral:rRNA from 1 species